rnacentral:lncRNA from 1 species
CCGAUUGGAAAAUAUGCGUUAGAACUAAAUGCUGGAAUAACAGAAAUAUUUGUCUAUUCGGAUGUUUUACAAUUGCAUCAUUUUGGCGUUGCUGUUGCUCCGGUUUUUAGAAUUAUACUGGUAUUAGGAGAAAAGGACGACCAAAUGGUAGAGAGUUACGACAGGCCGUUAUUUUUUCCAGUGAGGAAAAACUAUUAUCGACACGAUUUCUAUGGAAUUACGAUCAGUUACUGGCGAAUCUAUUAUUUUCACUACUGGGAAAACACUUCUCGUUCUCUGAUUUAAACGAUUAUAAAAGUUAAAUAGUUAAUCGAAAUUUUUUAUUUGUAAUCAUGUUGUUAUCACCGGAAGAUUGCAAAGUUCAUUUUUGUCGUCGUCGACUAUAAAUGAGAAGUGGAAUUUACUUCAAAAGUCCAUCGAUUCAGAGAGAUAAUGGCAUAUUUGAUUCCAUCCUUCGUGGUUACUCUCAUAUUAAAAGAAACAGGAAAAUAUUUAGGGGCAGUAAAGCUUUAGAGUGGGAUGCUAAACUCGGAUCUGAUCUGACUAAGCGAAAAUCUCUUAAAGAAGCGGCACUUUCACGACUUAAAGAAACUGGUUCCGAAAUUAAAGAUAACAUUAUUCAAAAAAUUCAAAGCGGGUCGG